UGACAAGCUCAUAUUGAUUAGAACGGUCAAACUGUUUCAAUCUAAGAGAGAAAAUAAAAAAGUUCGACAAUUAUAAAAUAAAUAUUGUACUUGUUUCUUUUGAUAUUUUUUAAGAUUAGCUUUUAUUAUCGGCGUAAGAUUGUGUCAAACAGCGUUCAGCUGUCAGCUUUGCCGUUCACAAUUCGUCUGACGUCACCGUGAAAAGGUGUUCCGGUUUUCACUCCUGAGCUGACCCUCUUUUUACAUGGGGGCGGGGCUUUGAGCUCAUUGGCUACCGGAAAAUGCAUCCCAUGAUUCCCAAAGAGGAAAUGGAGAUGUGACGUCUUUCUGUUCCAGAAUGUCGUCUGUUUUUGCCGCCGCCUGCAUCACCUCACUCCCAUCAAACUUAAGGAGACUCCUUUCAAGCCUCCUGAGCUGUAAGGCCCUCAUCAUCCCCUCUAAUGCAUAGCUGCUGAUUGACAGCCAGCGGGCCGGUGUGACACUGAUGGCUGUGGAGGGCCGUCAUUUCGCCCAGCAAAACAUCAGCCGCCUGUCAGGGCUGUCGGCUGCUGCACUCACAAUCACCACACAAACAGGCGCGGGAGCACAAAGCAUGCUGGGAAGCCUCUGUGUUUGGAUUUUAGCCUUCGUUUGAGUGCAGAAAUGAUCUGAAGAUGGAAGGAAUGCGGCCCUGAGAUGCUCCUUUACAAAGUCUUAAAGGAAGUGACACAAAGAUCUCAGGAUGAAGAUUCACAGAGAAUCAAAUGCAUCCACUUAUAGACGGCUAGAUCCACAAACGUCUUUGUUUUCCUUUCUUUGCUCCCCAUUUCCGGGUCAUGUUGGGGGUUUGAGAGGCUGUAAGCUAGUGGGAGAGAGUGUAAACAGAGAGCUCUCAACAACAAGGAGGGGAAGGAGGAGCAGGUUUAGUCUGCAGCAAGGGUUCCGUUCAAAACUUAGAGGCAAAGAAUUACUGCCGCUCUACAGAAACUAUGUUCUAGAAUUUAUUUCGAGUUUUUUUAAAUCUAUUUUAGCUAAAAAUGGCGUCCAU